GAUAAACGCUGGCGGUGUGCUUUAUGCAUGCAAGUCGAACGGUCCCGAUUCGUCGGGAUAGUGGCAAAUGGGUGAGUAAUGCGUAAGUAAUCUACCCCUAAGUGAGGGAUAACUCUGAGAAAUCGGAGUUAAUACCGCAUGUGAUGGUGGAGGUAAUGCUCCAUCAUUAAAGCCUUCGGGUGCUUGGGGAGGAGCUUGCGUCCGAUUAGCUAGUUGGUGAGGUAACGGCCCACCAAGGCGAUGAUCGGUAGCUGAUUUGAGAGGAUGAUCAGCCACACUGGGACUGAGAUACGGCCCAGACUCCUACGGGAGGCAGCAGCAAGGAAUAUUGCGCAAUGGGCGAAAGCCUGACGCAGCGACACCGCGUGGGGGAUGAAGGCUUUCGGGUUGUAAACCCCUUUUCUCAGGGAAGA
rnacentral:rRNA from 1 species